GACGAACGCUGGCGGCGUGCUUAACACAUGCAAGUCGAACGCUGAAGCCCUUUCGGGGGUGGAUGAGUGGCGAACGGGUGAGUAACACGUGGGUAAUCUGCCCUGUACUUCGGGAUAAGCCUUGGAAACGGGGUCUAAUACCGGAUAGGACCUGUCCUCGCAUGGGGGUGGGUGGAAAGUUCCGGCGGUAUGGGAUGAGCCCGCGGCCUAUCAGCUUGUUGGUGGGGUAGUGGCCUACCAAGGCGACGACGGGUAGCCGGCCUGAGAGGGUGACCGGACAGAAUGGGACUGCGACACGGCCCAGACUCCUACGGGAGGCAGCAGUGGGGAAUCUUGCGCAAUGGGCGAAAGCCUGACGCAGCAGCGCCGCGUGGGGGAUGACGGCCUUCGGGUUGUAAACCUCUUUCGACAUCGACGAAGGGGCCCUGUUGUGGGGUUUUGACGGUAGGUGUAGAAGAAGCACCGGCUAACUACGUGCCAGCCGCCGCAGUAA
rnacentral:rRNA from 1 species